CGGACGGGUGAGUAACACGUGGAUAACCUACCUAUAAGACUGGGAUGACUUCGGGAAACCGGAGCUAAUACCGGAUAAUAUAUUGAACCGCAUGGUUCAAUAGUGAAAGACGGUUUUGCUGUCACUUAUAGAUGGAUCCGCGCCGCAUUAGCUAGUUGGUAAGGUAACGGCUUACCAAGGCAACGAUGCGUAGCCGACCUGAGAGGGUGAUCGGCCACACNGGAACUGAGACACGGUCCAGACUCCUACGGGAGGCAGCAGAC
rnacentral:rRNA from 1 species